CCAAGCUCCGUGCCACCUGUAACCUUGAACAAAGUUUCUUCAAUGACUGGUUCACUGGACAUCUUAAUUUCCAGAUUGAGCAUCAUUUGUUCCCAACGAUGCCAAGACACAACUAUCAUAAAAUUGCACCGCUGGUGAAGACUCUGUGUAAAAAGCAUGGUAUUGAGUACAAGUCCAAGACAUUGCUACAGGGCUUUGCUGAUAUAGUCCGGUCCCUCAAAUCUUCUGGUGAGAUUUGGUAUGAUGCCUACUACCAUCUUCAAGAUCAAUAUCCCGAUGAUUAACCCUCCACCUCUCAUCCCCUGCUUACCCUGGAUGGCUUACUCUGCUACAUCUGUGUAGGAUGGCAUCAAAGGUGUUAAGUUGCAUGAUAAAGUUACCUAAACCUUGUAGGUAGUUGCUCUAAUUGAGAAAAAAAUAUGUGAUUUAAAAAAAAAUGUACUAACUACUACGUAUUGCUUUUAUUUAUGUUUAAAUCCCUCUGCACACUAUGAGGCCUCUUUCCUCAUUAUCAAUUGAUUUAGGAAGAUUUUCAUUUCUUCAUCAAAUGUUCCAUAAGGAAAGAGGUGUGUUUCCUCUUUUAUAUAGUUGUGUCAUUAUGAAUCCCUAUAUCUGAUUAUUGCAAACUUAAUUGCAAGUCAAUGAAUAUGAGCUUGGUCUCAGAAAUAUAUUUUUAUUAAAUGUAGUUUCAGAGAUAUUCUGAUAUGAAUCAAGCCAUGAUAUUGUCGAAUAGAGAGUAGUGCUUUUGCAAGGAAUACCAAAUCCAAGUUCUUAGGAACAGCACAGUGAUUUUAUAUCAUAAUUUGAUAUGUGAUAUGCAUAAACUGCAUUAUUAUUACUAUUAUAAUUAUGAUUUAAAGCUGAUUAUUUUCUGUUUAUAUAUCCUGAAAGCAUCCUUGAGUUGGAUUUUCUUCUGACUUAUGGCCUCAAUCAAAUGGAAUAUUAGUCUUAUAGUAAAUCAUGUGAUGAAAUGAUGGGAUUAAAAAAAAAAAAGGACGUGGCCUUGGACCUGUAACACAAAACUUAGCAACUGAUCAUAGAAUGAAACUGUACAAUUAAUUUGCAUUGACCACUGUGUACUAUCAAUCAUGGAUAUCAAUCGUAGAAUCAAUUGAUGAUUUUGUGUUAGAGGACCCAGGUGAUGUACAGGUCAUGUGUAGUAGACAAAAACAUCUCUUGUGCUAUGUAAUCAAGAUUAUGUUGAUUCAUAUUAAAUUUUAGUCCAUUCUUGCUUUAAUAUCGGGCUACUAUGUAUCCAGGCUCCUCUGUUAUCUGGCCGCAUCACCCAGUUCCAUUGUCACUUUGCGUCGAAUUCACUACAUUUUCACCUGCUUAUCUAAUUUCUAUCGUGAAAUAUUGGACUGAUGAUCCCCUCGAAACCCUGGCAGGGUCGUUUGUAGAAAUGAUGUUCCAAACUAUUACUCUCACACACCCUGUAUUAAUAUCAAAGAUGCAAUCAAUUUUACUGUUUACAAUUAAUCAUAACUGUGAAGUCUAUGACAGACCAUAUUUAGAAAUUUACAAUCGGUUGUAAGUAUUAUGUGUAUCUCUUGAUAUGUUACACACCCUUCCUAUAUUAAUACAAAUUGGUUCUGGUCCCAUCAAAACCUGGGACCCGUAACACAAAGCUUAGCAAUCGUCAUAGAAGAAAAUGUCUACGAUUCAUUGCACUGUCCACACUGUACAAUCAAUAGUGAUAAUCAAAAACACAAUCAAUCGUAAACCGUUGUGUUAUCGGACCCAGAUAGCAAGAUUGGAUUUCAUUUUCUCAUUUUCUAUUGUCUAUUCAAGAUCUAUUGAAUCUAAAACUUCACAAGAAGUAAACUGCAUGUGUAAUUGGUGAUUAUUGUGAAAAAUUGUUUUGUAUAUUUGAUCAUGUUGGUAAAUCUUUUUAAAAGCAACUUGAUUUGUGUGUUGUAUGCAUUCUAUUUUUCUUUGAAUAGCGAAGUGAUGUCAAGUAACCCAAAUAGCUUCAAUUUCUUUGGAUUUAUUCUUCGAAUGAAGUGCCAUAAUUCACAAAGGCUUUGAGUGCUGUGAAAAGUUUGUCUUGUAAUUUUGUUUACUAAUAGUUUGUCAAAUGUCAAAUUGAGAAAGAUAUGCAAUCCUUAUAUAUUAAAAUCAACUGAUGUACUUGUGGUACUUGCAUGAACUAUGUUUACUGUAUAUAAUAGUAUUUUACAAAUAAAUCACUUGACUGUUGCUGUAUUUGCUAUCUUCCAACUCCAGCUAGGUAGAAUGCAUGUUAUGGAAUGUCAACCAUACAGUCAUGUUAAAUCCUUCGACGUAAGUGGAAUAGAAGCAUAAAAAAGAUACCUGGAGUUGCAUUUGAUCUUACAAACGUCCAAGUCUGUACAUAUUCAAAUUGGGUGAAAUGCAAUCUGUUAUUUUUUCCCUUUGCAAAAGUGACUUUAUUGAAAAACGAAAAAAAUCUCUCAAUGCGAUAUAUGUAUUGUUAUUUCUGGUGCAGAGCAAUACAGCUAAAAUCAAAGAGAAAAAAGAAAGAUGUGCCACAAAGAUAUACAUUGAGGAUUCCCUCUGCCAUUUUAUCUUGUCCAAGGCAGUGCCAUAGCUCAGUUGUAUAGAUGGUCUCACAAUUUGGUGAACUAGUGCCCUUUGGGAUCAAAGGCAUUUAUCAUCCGAACCAGGUCCCUUGGAGAGGACCUGUCCUUUAGUUGCUUACUAACAAGCUUUCAUGCUUUCCUAAAAGUUGGUGAAAAUAUAUUAACCAAUUUAUCCAUCAUAAAUAUAAUCUGAAGAAGUGAUUUGUCUCGACCCCUUGGCCAGAGAUAAUUCCAACCAAUGUCUCAAAAUCUGGCAAAAAUGCCACGAAUCCCGACUUCUGACAUCACAAGGGGAUAAUAGUACCUGAUGAGUCAUAAAUAGUACAAAGACUAUUUAUGGCUGCUUGGGUGAAGCUUGAACCGCAUGCUUUAGAGUUUGUUUUUGAUGUCGCUACAUGUGAUGAUCAACUAAGACCUUUAUCAGAUCGUUGUGAUAAUUGUGGUAAUUUAAUAUUGCACGAAGACUGGGAUUUCUUAUCCUUCAUUCGAUCGGUAUGAUAGUAUUUUCUAUCUGCUGCAUCUUAUAUUGACAAUGGGUAUCAACCGAAUAUACGGCCUUAGAGGUUUGGUGAAACUAUUGCUCCCAUAGUGAUGCAAAUGCGACAAAUCGGGGGCUGCGCUCCUCAGGAAAAUAGCCACAUUCAGGUCACUUCCGAGACCAACCACCUCCUCUUAGGGUCUGUACAUAAUUUGUUCACCACUACUCUAUUCCAGUACACACAGCACUCCAAUAUUACAUGCUUCAAAUGCAAUCUUUCACACGAUUAUUAUAUAUACACUGCCUGCAAUAUGCAACCUGUAUCCUAUGGUGUUUGAGAUUGAUGCUUUGGCAAUUUUUCAUUUCCAUUUAUCUGCAGAUGUAGCUCAUUAUGGUGGUCGAUUGCAAUAGCCUUGUUAUGUUUAGGUCAUGUUGAAUUCAGACUAUUAAAAGUUGUAAGAACUCUGAUGCUUGAUAGAUUACUAGAUGUAUAUGCAGGUUUUUGGAAUUAGAUGAUGUGUAGAUAUUCCAGUUUUAGUUUUUACACUUUGAGAAAAAGUUGCAUUUUUUUUAAUUGAAAAAUAAGAAAAAGAAAAAAUGGGAUGAUAUGGGUAUCAUGCAUAUAUAAGUAUAUUUUGUGUUGUGUGGGAUAUGAUUUUAUUUUACUUUCAUUACUUUUCAAGUAUUUGUAAUUUAACAUACUUAUUUUUAAAACCACUUUGUUUUUGGUUGCAUUUGCAAUGUCGUGAGCAAUGAAUGGAAUAUGCACAUCUUACAACCAGGCUUUUUUAUCAAGCUCGUCCACCAAUUCAUUUUUUGUGCAUGGAUGUAAGCUGUUGUAUAUAUAUUGUGUUGAUUUUUUAAUUUUUUUUUAUAUAUUUGACAUAAAAAGAGCAAGCAAAAAUUGCAUUCAGGUGUGAUAAAAUUAAAUGAAAUGAGAAACAAUUGUAUUUUUUUCAAUUUUUUUUAUAGUAAAUUUGAAGCUUGUGUAUUGUGUUCACAAAUUGGAGCUUGCCAUUCAUUUCCUUGCACCAGUAACUAACACACUUAUCCUCUCAGUUUUAUUUUAAAGUAGCUGAUAUUCUGUGGUGUGUGUCACAACAUAGAGUAUUACCAAUCAUGUAAUUUACCCUAAAUUACUACAAAAUGUACCCUUGUCUGUAGAGAAAUACAAUUGUAUAACAAAAUAUGAAGCAGAUAAGGGGGAUUAUGAUAGCAUAGAAAUUAGUGAAAUGGGGAUGAUUAUUGUAUUUAAAUGAUAAUUGUUGAAUGAAAAUGUAUUUGUGUCUAAAAAAUAUUAUCAGGAACUCCAUUUAAUGGAAAUAUAUUUAUAUCAGUAUUUUAUUUAAUUGACAACACAGAUCAUGCUAAUAUUCAUAUAAGAUAGAAAUCAUGCUCUAAAUAAACUAAGUAUUAUAUCCAUUCGAUAUUUGAUUUGUAAACUUGGAUAAAAAGGAGAAAUGUUUACUUCUUUGAAUAUGCCAUGAAAAUGUGUCAAAGCAGUAUUAUCUAAAUCUAAAUCGGCCUUGAGCAGUUAUCUUUUAAAUGUAGGGAUUGGACAUCCUAAAUCUGAAGACAAAGCAUAUAUCCUGAAAGUUUCAGCCCAUUCCAUGGCUUGGAAUAGAUUUAGUAUUAAAGAACAAAAACGUGCAGCUAUUUUGAUAUCAUGAAGAUAAGAAAUACUAGCAGGACACAGUUGUCACAAAGGUUUGAUUUCCAACCUUAUGAUUUUGAAAAAAAGACACAAAAAUCAGCCGCACAAAUUUCUUGUGUAUUCAUAUGAAGUGCAGAAAGAAAACACUGUUAUUUGCUGAUGCUCUAAGAGAGUGAUGAUAAUUUCAUGUUAUUUUAUUUGUUUUUUAAUGACCUUGAGCCAUGCUCAGACUCAAACUCUAUAGCAUUGAGUUAGUCUCUAAUUUACAGACUUUAAAUGUUAAUCAUGUAUUUUGUCUUUAAUUUUAUUUUGUAUUUGCUUGGCUUUUUUAGAAAUGAAAACAUUGACCCUCCUAACUUUUUUAUGUUUGUGGGCAUUAAAUUAUGGUGAAGAAUCAUGAGGAUUUAAAUUCUAGAAAGAUAUUAGAACCACUGGUUUCUUUAAAAAUGAAAAAAAAGGAAAGAUGAAUCUGCUGAUCAGUCUAUCAAUUUUCAGCUAGUAAAGUGAAAUGAAAAUUGGUGAGAAAGGUAGGAAUCUAUGACAUAAAAUUGAUUGUGUUGUAGAGGUUACUGCUUGCAAGAGUCUUAAGCAGAGUGCAGUCUAAUUAGUACAUAGAAUUUACAGGUAAACAUGGUUAUAAUGUAUUAUGUAAUGUUUUUUGACCAAAAUGAUGCUGUACUUAACCAGUUUUAUUUCCAAUACUCUGUUUACUAUUAAAACUGUAAAUGAGCUUUGAGUCAUAAUGAAAGUCAUUUAUUGAAUGAAAGUCAUUUACUGAAAGGACAUUGAAAAUAGGUAUGAAUAGUAAUUUGUAUCAUCAGCUAUUCUCAAAUAUUUUUUGUUGUGAUUGAUAUCUUGGAGUGGGGAUGAUAUGUGUAUAUAAUUUUUGAUGGUUUUGGGCAAUGAGAAUGGAUGAUCUAGGGAGUAGGAUCUUUUGAACUGUAAUAUAUCGGUAAGUGGAAGAAAACUGAUCAAUUUGAAUAAUAAAUCAAAGCAGAUGAA